rnacentral:rRNA from 1 species
UACGGGGGGGAGCAAGCGUUGUUCGGAUUUACUGGGCGUAAAGGGCGCGUAGGCGGCCACCGCAAGUCGACUGUGAAAUCUCCGGGCUUAACCCGGAAAGGUCAGCCGAUACUGCGGGGCUAGAGUGCAGAAGGGGCAACUGGAAUUCUCGGUGUAGCGGUGAAAUGCGUAGAUAUCGAGAGGAACACCUGCGGCGAAGGCGGGUUGCUGGGCUGACACUGACGCUGAUGCGCGAAAGCUAGGGGGAGCAAAUGGG